GGGUUUCUAUUUUUUAGAAACAAUAGGGAAUUCAGUGUAAAUCUGAAACUGUACCCGCAGCUGUAUGCUUCAAUGCUUCAAUGUAAUUGCCACUGACAAGGAUCGGGAAGGCGCAGAGAAGGGGAGUUAGUCAGAAGACCUGCCCGCAACCAU
rnacentral:ncRNA from 1 species